rnacentral:rRNA from 1 species
UACGUAGGGUGCAAGCGUUGUCCGGAAUUAUUGGGCGUAAAGAGCUCGUAGGCGGUCUGUCGCGUCUGCUGUGAAAGUCCAGGGCUCAACCCUGGAAGGCCGGUGGAAACUGUCGGGCUAGAGUCCGGAAGAGGCGAGUGGAAUUCCCGGUGUAGCGGUGAAAUGCGCAGAUAUCGGGAGGAACACCAAUGGCGAAGGCAGCUUGCUGGGACGGUACUGACGCUGAGACGCGAAAGCGUGGGGAGCAAACAGG